UUUCUUUUAGUUUUGUAAAAUGCCAAAUGAGCACCUAAAUUAGUAUUACUAAUUAGUCCACUGCCAAAAUUAACUUGGCACCUAAAAUAAAAUAUUUGGUAAUUGUUGAGUAUUUAAAGUAUUUAAAUAAUAGUUUUUCUACUGUUUUAUUACCAUUUGAAUAUUUGAACAUUUUAUAAAAGUGUGGUUCUCCACCAUAAUUAUCUACGCAUUAUUUGGCACAACCCGAACAUUUUAGUUUUAAAGUUUGAAAACUUUUGUUGUUUGCCUUUUAUUCAAUUUUGAAUUUGAAUUGGUUUUUGAACUAACGAAAGGGAUUAACUACAGUGUCAGAGGUGACGUGGCAUCAAUAGCAGGGAAUUACUGUAGUCUAAUUAUCCGGGCGUCACAAUUCUCCUCCACUACAAGAAAUCUCGUCCCGAGAUUUAAGAGGAAGUAAAGGGGGAAGGUUCGGGUUACGAAAUUCUAGGGAGUGUUCUUGGUCUUGGUUGUUCUUCUCGAAGAGGUUGAUCCAUUACAUUGAUGUCUUCAUUCUGCUGUUUCAGGUCAUCAUGAUGAAGGUUUCGUCCUUUCUUCGGGAACUCCAUCGUACUUAUGAAAGAAUAAAGGGUGGGUAUAUUCCAGGAGAACGGACCUCUGCAAGGUUGACUAUCUGGUAGCUAACAUCGGGGAAGGUGGCGGAAAGUAACUCUCGAAUUGAAACUUACGGAAAUAUCGAGAGCAAAGUAAGGAUGUAUCCUGGGAAGUUUCGAGCGGGUAGGCAAUCGUUCGAUGCCUGUUACAGGGCGUGAAAGGGGUUCAAAGCAACGGGAAUAAGUAUUGUGUCUGAUAUCAGACUUGAAGGUGGCUCGUGAAUUACAUACGAGGCCACACACGAUGAAUUAAUUUGGGAAUAGGGGGUGCACAGGAGAGUCAGGUUUUGAUCCUGUGGAACUGUGGGUUAUGGGCCCACCAUGUGGGUUAAAAGUAGGAAGGGCGGUGACAUCUUGCACGAUCAUGAUAGCAAGGCAUGUCAGAGGGUAGCCUGUCAGUUAUACGUCAGCAACAUCGUCGGUACCAAGGGCGAGGGACGAAGAGAACCAUUUUCCUGCUCGUUGAAACGAGGCAGACCAUUAGGCAAAGUUCUCGUCCAUCGGUGGUUACCGAAAUGUCACCAACAAUAGUAACAGGGUCUUACUGACAGAGUUGUACACCGAGGUGUUUACAUAAGCAGGAGAAUAUUACUGCUUAGAUCAUAUAGAUCACCAGAAAGGUUAAACCAAACAAUGGAAAGGAAAAUAUGAUUAUCAGAUUAAACAGAAGAAUGGAAAGGAAAAUGUGUUUAAACACAUAUUUCAAUGGUAUAUCCUUCCCAAGGACAAGCUGAGCAUGAUAUUCAUGACAGGAUAUAAUGUAGAAAACUCUUUAGGUAGGGGAGAGAAAUUUCAUGACAUUACCCAUACAACGGUGUUUGGAUAAUUGAACAGGAAACAUUUAGCGUUGGUCUUCAAAUGUUCCUGUUGAAAAUCGGAGUACCAUAGACAUGCUUUGAGAUAGCAUUGACGUGGUCAACAGGUGAAGAUCAGACUUUGGAAACAAAAAUGAUCCAUCAGGAACAACUUAUAGAAUAAGUCUUACAAGUUCCUCAUGGAAGAACAGCUAACCUUGCUAAAAAGGAAAACUUAUAACAAUAGGUCCUCUGGCCAGGUGUGUUAGGCAUGACAUCACCUUACCGGGUCAUAAAUAAACCAAUGUUACAACUCUUGGAAAUAUGUUCCAACCACCAUAUCUGACCGAGAUUCAGAUCUGAUUGGUGUCAGGAUAACUCAGACUCAGGAUGCCUGAGAAGAAAGGUGCAACACGAAUUGUCGAGAUGACAUUGUAAGAUUCUCGAGAAUUAAACCAUGGAAGCGAGUUCCGGAACAAGAGUUCAUCAUUAAAUCAAGGAGAGGAUGAGGGGGUGGCUGAUGGACUCAGCGACAAUUCCUCGAGAUUUCCAAAAAGAUGGAGUUCCACUAUUAUGUGAACAAGGAGAUAACAUUAGCUAGAUUGAAUGAUAUAAUGAGGUAUGCUCGAGGAAAACAUACCCAAUUAAACAUUGGUUGAAAGGUGCACCCGAAAUAUGGGAUGGGUUGCAUGACCAACGUCGGAAUGGUGAUUCAAUAAUCAAUAGUCUAAGAAUGAACGGCCGACCAUUGACUUCAAAGCAAUAGGGUUGCUAGAAGUUUUAGAAUCCGAACAACACAGUUCACCUGUUGGUAUCCCGGUUAGAAUCAACACGUGAACCUGGAAAUGAAUGGAGAUGGCGAGAAGUAUUACUAUAUCAGGAAUUCUUAAGAGGUGGGGCAAUCCUCACAACAUCCUUGACAUGAAAGACAGUAAUACUUCAAUGUAGAACAUAACAUAAGCUGGUUAGCAAGAAGCUCCAUAACAUGAUCAAGUUUGUGAUGAAAGGAAUGUAAGGAUGUUGUCGAUGGUAACUCAAAUUACCAAGGAACGAGGAUGGCACUAAUCAUCAAGAAUUCCAUUGAUAUCCUGGAAGGAGUCAAAAUGUUGAUGAUGAUCACGACAUUUUGUUGUCGAGGGGAUCCACGAAGAAGCAAUCGAUCAGCGACUGCAUCAAGCAAAAGGACUGAUGCAACAAAAGAUUAUUGGAGCCACAGAUACUACACAAACUCGAGGUCAAGUUUGUUGUUCGAGGUGAAACGAUAUGACGAGGAAAAUCGAUGUAAGCUUAGCUCAUCGUCGAAAGUGGUGCUCCGGGAAUAAGGACCAGGUAGCACAGUUAAAAUCAUCAAGAUAAUGAUAUAGCCGAGCAGGCUAGGGAUGACGUGAUCGAGUACGAACUCGUAAGCAAAGGAGAUUACUAAGAGUUGUUUAAUCGUGAUGCGGACUCGAUUUAGUUAUCGAUGUCCUUGAGUGUUUAAUAACUCGGAGCCCGUGAAAAAUUGGAAUUCAAUGAGAAUGUAAUACUUGAUGGAGAACUCAUAAUAAGUUAUGCAGCUCCGUGAUAAUCUCGAGAUACCAGGGGGGUAAUACUCGACGACAAACCAAAGUAGAGGUUGGACUGGGGUAUUGCUCUGCAGAAGACAAGUGCUCAACUUGUACGAGAAAUGGUAUUUAAAGGAGAACAUGGUCGGAACCACGAUUGCAAAAGGCCAGAUCCCAGAUAUAAGAUGAACUUAUACCCAGGGAAUAAUUAAUUUAAGAGAAGCUUUUAAUGAUAAGAUCUACAUCGUGUCCAUGGGCAUGAACGCAAAGUUCAAGGUCGACUCCCACUUCUUCAAUGCAUAACCUUUCAUUCACUUCUCGCGUUUGAUGAAGUUGCAGUUGAAUUUUUUUUAUCUGGCAAGAUACCAGAAGAGUAUGACUCGUGAAAUUUGUCGGGUUCACACGGAUUAGGGAAGGUGUAGGUUCAACCCAUCAGGGCAUCUUAGGAACAUGUACCACAAACUUCGGAGUAAAUAAUACAAGCUCGAAAGUAGAGCAUGGUUCACAAAGCAGAGGAUACAAUUUACCAAAGGCAUCAUGUAUCCGAGGAAAAGCUCACAAGCUUAUUUAAACUGGAGGACAUUGUCGGAUAAAAUCCGACAAAAGGGUCUGGUGGUCCACAAGGGAUCUGAUGUGAGCAUCAGUACUCCACCAGAGGAAGAAAGAAUGCCAGGAGAUCAGAUUAUAGAAACAACUGACUAACUCAAAGCUCAAUGCAAAGGAAUUAUAAUUUCAAAUUCAAGGGAUCAGAAGCAAACGCUCUGAUUAGGGAUGGAUAAGUUGAGUAGACUUAGGGGCACAAUCGAUGGCAAAUUUGAUUGGUCGAGAUCCAGCUCACGUUUAAAAUGGCGUCUGAGCCGGAAGGAUGAAUACUAGGAUCUGAUUGAGGAUUGCGAGCAUUCGCAACAAAUUGAAUCAACGGACUCAGAAUGAUAAUGACAAGAGAUGUCAAUAAGAUUACGAGACUUAUGGGAUUAACCAUAAUGCAAGCAAACAAGAAUUUCAAGAGCAAUAGGUUGAUGAGGAUUUUCGAAAGAUCGAAUGGUAUUUCGAAGACUUUGUGUAAUACAUGAAUCAUUUGGGGAUGAGCGGAUACUCGAUAAGUGCGAGAAAUUAUUCGUAGGGGUAUUCAGGUGGCAAAGAACUGCAAGGCAGUAGGCACAAAGUAUUCUCGGGGUAUUUUGUAUUAACAAGAUCGACUGGGAAUAAAAGUAAGAAUGACAGGUGUAAGUAUUUAUCCAUAGGGAUAUUUUGGUGGUAGGAAUUGCAAAGGCAACGGGCACAAGGUCUCGAGAGAAUAUCGGAGGGUAUCUUCGAAAUCUUCUGAUGCAGUCGGUGAUCAUCAGUAAUAAGGGGCUCUCCGGGUGAAAGUGAUAACGAGAUCCUAAUGUUAGAUUUAGCAAAAUUCAUUUAACCCGAAUAGAAGAGAUGUCAGAGUCCCAGAGUAUAGGUUGAGGAAUAAAAGAUGCUACUACCACCCAAUGGCGACGUGGGCCCGUAAGCCACACAGCCAUGUUAGUAAAAUAGUUUUCACUGACUAGACUCGACUUCGGCCAAGGAGUUGGAAAGGGGGAUUCCUACAGGCAGUCGGCUCUGAUACCAACUUGUGACGCCCCCGAUUUGACCGUACACUAAUCAUGCACGCAAAUGUGUACGAUCAAGAUCAGGGACUCACGGGAAGAUAUCACAACACAACUCUAAAACAUAAAUAAGUCAUACAAGCAUUAUAAUACAAGCCAGGGGCCUCGAGGGCUCGAAUCAAGUGCUUGAUCAUAGACGAGUCAGCGGAAGCAACAAUAUCUGAGUACAGACAUAAGUUAAACAAGUUUGCCUUAAGAAGGCUAGCACAAACUGGGAUACAGAUCGAACGAGGCGCAGGCCUCCUGCCUGGGAUCCCCCUAACUACUCCUGGUCGUCGUCAGCGGCCUGCACGUAGUAGUAGGCACCUCCAGUGUCGUAGGAGUCGUCGUCGACGGUGGCAUCUGGCUCCUGGGCUCCAGCAUCUGGUUGUGACAACCAGAUAGAAAGGAAAGGGGGGAAAGAGGGAGAGAAGCAACCGUGAGUACUCAUCCAAAGUACUCGCAAGCAAGGAGCUACACUACAUAUGCAUGGGUAUAUGUGUAAAGGGGCAUAUCAGUGGACUGAACUGCAGAAUGCCAGAAUAAGAGGGGGAUAGCUAGUCCUGCCGAAGACUACGCUUCUGGCCAUCUCCCUCUUGCAGCAUGUAGAAGAGAGUAGAUUGAAGUCCUCCAAGUAGCAUCGCAUAGCAUAAUCCUACCCGGCGAUCCCCUCCUCAUCGCCCUGUUAGAGAGCGAUCACCGAGUUGUAUCUGGCACUUGGAAGGGUGUAUUUUAUUCAGUAUCCAGUUCUAGUUGUCAUAAGGUCAAGGUACAACUCCGGGUCGUCCUUUUACCGAGGGACACGGCUAUUCGAAUAGAUAAACUUCCCUGCAGGGGUGCACCACAUAACCCAACACGCUCAAUCCCAUUUGGCCGGACACACUUUUCUGGGUCAUGCCCGGCCUCGUAAGAUCAACACGUCGCAGCCCCACCUAGGCUCAACAGAGAGGUCAGCACGCCGGUCUAAACCUAUGCGCGCAGGGGUCUGGGCCCAUCGCCCUAUCCACACCUGCACGUUGCGUACGCGGCCGGAAGCAGACCUAGCCCCCUUAAUACAAGCGCGAGCUUACGGUCCAAUGCGGCGCGCGCCACUCAGUCGCUGACGUCAAAAGAGCUUCGGCUGCCCAUAACUACUCCCGCGUAGAUGGUUAGUGCAUAUAGACCAAAUGGCCAGACUCAGAUCAAAUACCAAGAUCUCGUUAAGCAUGUUAAGUAUCCGCGAAUGCCAACCAGGGCCAGGCCCACCUCUCACCUAGGCGGUCUCAACCCGCCCUGUCGCUCCGCCACAAAGAUCCACUUGCGGGUACUCCUACGAGCCGACCCGACUUUAGUCACCACAUGUGUGAUGUAUAUAGUAUAUAAGUAUAUACCCGUGAUCACCGCUCAGGUGAUCACGGCCCGAUAGUAUAGCACAGCAGACGGACAAGAAUGUAGGGCCACUGAUGGAAAACUAGCAUCCUAUACUAAGCAUGUAGGAUUGCAGGUAAAGGUAACAACAGUAGUAGCAAGGAUAGGCUAUGCAUCAGGAUAGGAUAUCGGAAGGCAGUAACAUGCUACACUACUCUAAUGCAAGCAGUAUAGAGAAGAAUAGGCGAUAUCUGGUGAUCAAGGGGGGGGGGGGCUUGCCUGGUUGCUCUGGCAAGUAGGAGGGGUCGUCAACUCCGUAGUCGAACUGGGGGUCGGCGGUAGUCUCGGGGUCUACCGAAAAGAAGUAACGGAGGGGAACACAAUAAAUAACAGAGCAAUCAAAGCAACACAAAGCGUAACAUGACAAUACACGGUGCUAGGUGUGCCCUAACGCGGUAAUAGGUGAUACCGACGAAGGGGGGAAACAUCCGGGAAGGUAUUCCCGGUGUUUCGCGUUUUCGGACAAAGGUACCGGAGGGGGGGAAGUUGCGAGUUCGAUAGGUUAGGGAGGUGUGGCGGACGAACGGGCUGCGUAUCCGGAUUCGUCUCGUCGUUCUGAGCAACUUUCAUGUAGAAAACAUUUUCAUCCGAGUUAUGGUUUAAAAGAUAUGAAUUUUCAAAGAUUAUUUGAAUUUCUGGAAUUAUUUGAAUUUAGCAAAAAUGAAUUAUGACGUCAGCAUGAGGUAACGCUGACGUCAGCAGGUCAACAGGUCGGCUGACCAGUCAAACCAGACCGGUGGGUCCAGUGAGACCCACAUGUCAUUGACAGGGCACUAACAGAGUUUUAUAACUAACUUAAACAAGGUUAUUAGCAGGUAGGCCCCACCUGUCAGUGCCUAUUUAGAUUAAUUAAUUAGUUUUAUUUAUAAAAACAUUUUAUUUAAUUUACUUAUGCGGCGGGGCCCGCAUGUCAGCAUCACAGAGACGCCCAGUCAGCAUGUUGACUGGGUCAACCCAGUCAACGGGGCCCGCGGGUCCCGCUGGCAGUGACCCCGGGGUGGCCCCAGGUGUGGCACGUCAGCGGCGGCCGGCGGCACGUCGCCGGUGACGGCAAACACGGCGGAGGGCUUCGGACCUCGUCGGAUUUCGCCUACGGGCAACCGUUUCGCGCGCGCGAGGGCGCGUUCGAACGAGCGGAGCAACGCGCGUCGAACAGCGGUGGUGGCGUCGCCGGAGUUGGCUGGAAUCGGCGCCGGCGUCGAGGCCAGCGGCGGAGCGGCUUCGGCCGAAGACGGAAACGGCAAGGCAGCACGCUAUUGAGCAAAAGAGGAGGAUGGGGAGCAUCUACGUGGUGCGGCGAGUCCAAUGGGUACGAGCCCGUGACCAAACCGUCACCGGAGACGCGUCGGCGACGAGCUCCGCGGCGAUGCGUUCGGCCUCGUUGUGAGAGCUAGCUAGGGUUCGCGCGAGAGCAAACGGAGAAGGGCAGGAGGUAGAGGAGCUCACCGCGCGGCAAACGGAGGCCGGUGAGAGGCUUAGUAGUAGCAGCAGUCGCUGGAGUCGAAGAAGACAGCGGCGACCCGAGGAAGAAGGCGACGGCGUUGGGGGUGAUGUAGGGGGUCCCGGCUCGAGCAGGUGGUCGGGGAGGAAGUAGCGAGGGCCGGAGAACCGAUUUGUCAUGGGGACGAGGCGAGGUGGCGACGGUGGCCGCGGCUAGGACAGGGCCAUGGCGACGGGCGCGCUCGGGAUCGAGCAAGAGGAGAGGGGAGAGGUGGAUCUGGGAGGAGGGGAGGCGCAGAGGCGAGCGAGAGGGGGCAAGUGAGCGAGCGGGGAGAGAGCCCGAGGCGCCAGGGGGGUGGAGUCCUUAUCCACCGAGGCGCCGACGGCGAGGUGGGUUCGGCAGGGACGCGACUUGGGCGCGCACGGGGUCGGGUGAACAGAGAAGACGACCGGGGAGGAAGAUGGGCUGGGCCUGGUCGGGUGGGCCGAGGCCUAUUCCCCUUUUUUGUUUUCUCUUGAUUUGCUUUUCCUUUUCUAUUUUUCUUUUAUUUCUUUACUGUUUUCUUUUAGGUACAUUUAUUUUAGUUUUGUAUAAUGCCAAAUGAGCACCUAAAUUAGUAUUACAAAUUAGUCCACUGCCACAAUUAACUUGGCACCUAAAAUAAAAUAUUUGGUAAUUGUUGAGUAUUUAAAGUAUUUAAAUAAUAGUUUUGCUACUGUUUUAUUACCAUUUGAAUAUUUGAACAUUUUAUAAAAGUGUGGUUCUCCACCAUAAUUAUCUACGCAUUAUUUGGCACAACCCGAACAUUUUAGUUUUAAAGUUUGAAAACUUUUGUUGUUUGCCUUUUAUUCAAUUUUGAAUUUGAAUUGGUUUUUGAACUAACGAAAGGGAUUAACUACAGUGUCAGAGGUGACGUGGCAUCAAUAGCAGGGAAUUACUGUAGUCUAAUUAUCCGGGCGUCACACUUGUACUAACGGAUCUCACGAAGGUUUUGUUGAGUUUCGUGUGAUUGAAGUUUUCAAGUUUUGGGUUAUCUUACGAUGGAUGAAGGAAGGAUAGAAGAGCCUAAGCUUGGGGCUGCCCCGGAAUCCCAAGCUAUUAUCCAAAAUGAG
rnacentral:lncRNA from 1 species